AUCAACUAACAAUAUGAAAAAUAACGAAAACCAUAUACCGUUAAGCAAUAGUUACAUAACUUUGCUUAACAUCAUGAUUCCUUGCCAAAAAGAUAUUAGCGUUAAAAUUAUUUCUAGUUUAAAGAAUAUGCUCUUGAGGAUUUUUUAUGCUUGUACGGAUGCUAUUAAAGAAGAAAGGAAAGUGAAAAAAGAAAGGAAAAUAUAAACGAAAAUAGUUCCGUGAUUGGAGAAGACUCUAAAUUCCACUUAUUUAUUGCAUUUAUUUCAUCGUUCUGUUAGUACAUAUAUAGUAAAAUAUUUGACAACUAUGAAUUGUCCUACAACUAGAACAAUUGUGAGUUAACACUAGUUGUAUAGCUGGAGAAUACAAGGAUAAAAUAUUCUUAUUUUAGUAGAGGAAAUGGACAGAAGGUGUUGGCUCCACUUUGGCACUCAUUCAUAUAGGCGAGUAAGAUGGUAAGGAAUGAGGAGAUUUUCUGACUUUGACCUUAGGUUUCACAAUAGUUAUCUUUUAAGGUACAAUCUAGGAAAUCAUUUUUAUGAAAAACAAAUGUGGGGCAUUGUUUGUAUUAUGAUCAGUCAUGUGUUGAACAUAUGAAUUGUCUAAUAAGAAUAACAUUGUAGUUUCUAUUA